AUCCGUUGGUUUUACAUGACCGUGAGGGUUCGAUUCCCUCUAUCCC
rnacentral:tRNA from 2 species